rnacentral:rRNA from 1 species
UACGUAGGGGGCUAGCGUUGUCCGGAAUCAUUGGGCGUAAAGCGCGUGUAGGCGGUCCGGUAAGUCCGCUGUGAAAGUCGAGGGCUCAACCCUCGAAUGCCGGUGGAUACUGUCGGGCUUGAGUACGGGAGAGGCGAGUGGAAUUCCUGGUGUAGCGGUGAAAUGCGCAGAUAUCAGGAGGAACACCUAUUGCGAAGGCAGCUCGCUGGGACGUAACUGACGCUGAGACGCGAAAGCGUGGGGAGCGAACAGG